rnacentral:rRNA from 1 species
AUGCCCGGCAUCAAAAGGAAGGCGGCCGGCUCCGGCGAUGCUCCCAACGCCGGGGCGGGCGAGGCGUCCCCGAGGCGGCGGGAGAGGCUCAAGGCAAGUCUGCUAAGCUUCCCCGAGGCGGCGGCGCUGGACGAGCUUCAGCUGGACGAUGCGGCCGACAGGAUCUUCAGGGAGUACGACCCCUCCACGGCGACCCCGACCCCCGAAGGCAUGGUUCGCCUGGACGACGAGAGCAUCAUCGCCGCCUUCAGCUUCGCCAACCGGUUCUUGACCUCCACCGCCGAGGACGAACCGCCCGCCGGGGUGGAUCCGCUAGGGUGGCUGGAUGAGCGGAGGCGGACGCUAGACGAGGAGACGAAGAGGUCUGAGCCCAACAACUCGCGGCUCGUCAUCGCCAAGAUACGCGUCGACUUGCUCACCAAGGGCUACGUUGAGCUCCCCAGGGCGUACGUUGAGUGCAUUCCCGUAUAG